GCCGGUUUAGCACAGUGGUAGUGCAUCUGAUUUGUAAUCAGAGGGUCAUCGGUUCAAAUCCGAUAACCGGCU
rnacentral:tRNA from 1 species